ensembl:snoRNA SNORD24 Small nucleolar RNA SNORD24
UGCUGCAAUGAUGACAAAUAUUUGCUACUCUCGACAAGAUGGAUGACGAUACUCCAACCACCUAAAUUUAUAAUCUGAGGCA